rnacentral:rRNA from 1 species
AGGGCGCAUGGUGAAUGCCUUGGCACUAGGAGCCGAUGAAGGACGGGACUAACACCGAUAUGCUUCGGGGAGCUGUACGUAAGCUAUGAUCCGGAGAUUUCCGAAUGGGGCAACCCAGCAGUUUUAAUCAACUGUUACCACUAGAUGAAUUCAUAGUCUAGUUGGAGGUAAACGCUGUGAACUGAAACAUCUCAUUAGCAGCAGGAAUAUAAAGAAAUUUCGAUUCCCUAAGUAGCGGCGAGCGAACGGGGAACAGCCCAAACCAAAGUGCUUGCACUUUGGGGUUGUAGGACUGAACAUUUGAGUUACCAAAGAACUUGAUAGUCGAAGGAUUUGGGAAAAUCCGCCAUAGAUGGUGAUAGCCCAGUAGAUUAAAUCAAAUUCUCUCAGUUCAGGAUCCUGAGUACGGCGGAACACGUGAAAUUCCGUCGGAAUCCGGGAGGACCAUCUCCCAAGGCUAAAUACUACCUAGUGACCGAUAGUGAACCAGUACCGUGAGGGAAAGGUGAAAAGCACCCCGGGAGGGGAGUGAAAUAGUUCCUGAAACCAUGUGCCUACAAUAAGUCAGAGCGCGUUAAUGCGUGAUGGCGUGCCUUUUGUAGAAUGAACCGGCGAGUUAUGAUCCCGUGCAAGGUUAAGACUAAAAAGUCGGAGCCGUAGCGAAAGCGAGUCUGAAAUGGGCGAUUUGAGUACGAGGUUAUAGACCCGAAACCAGGUGACCUAUCCAUGUCCAGGUUGAAGGUGCGGUAAAACGCACUGGAGGACCGAACCCGUGUAAGUUGAAAAUUGCUGGGAUGAGGUGUGGAUAGCGGUGAAAUUCCAAACGAACUUGGAGAUAGCUGGUUCUCUCCGAAAUAGCUUUAGGGCUAGCCUCGGAUUAAGGAUCAUGGAGGUAGAGCACUAUUUGGACUAGGGGCCCGUCUUGGGUUACUGAAUUCAGAUAAACUCCGAAUGCCAUUGAUUCAUGUCCGGGAGUCAGACGAUGAGUGAUAAGAUCCACCGUCGAAAGGGGAACAGCCCAGACCAUCAGUUAAGGUCCCUAAAUGUAUGCUAAGUGGAAAAGGAUGUGGAGUUGCAUAGACAACUAGGAUGUUGGCUCAGAAGCAGCCACCAUUUAAAGAGUGCGUAAUAGCUCACUAGUCGAGUGAUCCUGCGCCGAAAAUGUACCGGGGCUAAGCAUACUACCGAAACCAUGGAUGCGACCAUUAGGUCGCGUGAUAGGAGAGCGUUCUAAGGGCGGUGAAGCAAGAUCGUGAGGACUUGUGGAGCGCUUAGAAGUGAGAAUGCCGGUAUGAGUAGCGAAAGAUAGGUGAGAAUCCUAUCCACCGAAUGACUAAGGUUUCCUGGGGAAGGCUCGUCCUCCCAGGGUUAGUCGGGACCUAAGUCGAGGCCGAGAGGCGUAGACGAUGGAUAACAGGUUGAGAUUCCUGUACUAGUUAAGUGCGUUUGAGCAAUGGAGGGACGCAGGAGGCUAAGAUGUGCAUUCUGUUGGAUUAGAAUGUCCAAGCAGUAAGUCUUGUGGAGAGUCAAAUGCUUUUCACUUUAAGGACAAGCUGUGAUGGGGAGCGAAAUUUAGUAGCGAAGCGUCUGAUGUCACACUGCCGAGAAAAGCUUCUAGUGAGUACUUAACUACCCGUACCGCAAACCGACACAGGUAGUCGAGGAGAGAAUCCUAAGGUGAGCGAGUGAACUCUCGUUAAGGAACUCGGCAAAAUGACCCCGUAACUUCGGGAGAAGGGGUGCUGAUCGCAAGAUCAGCCGCAGUGAAUAGGCCCAGGCGACUGUUUAUCAAAAACACAGGUCUCUGCAAAAUCGUAAGAUGACGUAUAGGGGCUGACGCCUGCCCGGUGCUGGAAGGUUAAAAGGAUGGGUUAGCUUCGGCGAAGCUCAGAAUUGAAGCCCCAGUAAACGGCGGCCGUAACUAUAACGGUCCUAAGGUAGCGAAAUUCCUUGUCGGGUAAGUUCCGACCCGCACGAAAGGCGUAACGAUCUGGGCACUGUCUCAACGAGAGACUCGGUGAAAUUAUAUUGUCCGUGAAGAUGCGGACUACCCGCGACAGGACGGAAAGACCCCAUGGAGCUUUACUGUAGCUUGAUAUUGAGUGUUUGUACAGCUUGUACAGGAUAGGUAGGAGCCAUAGAAACCGGAACGCUAGUUUCGGUGGAGGCGUUGGUGGGAUACUACCCUCGCUGUAUGACCACUCUAACCCGCACCACUAAUCGUGGUGGGAGACAGUGUCAGGUGGGCAGUUUGACUGGGGCGGUCGCCUCCUAAAAAGUAACGGAGGCGCCCAAAGGUUCCCUCAGAAUGGUUGGAAAUCAUUCGCAGAGUGUAAAGGCACAAGGGAGCUUGACUGCGAGACAGACAGGUCGAGCAGGGACGAAAGUCGGGCUUAGUGAUCCGGUGGUACCGUAUGGAAGGGCCAUCGCUCAACGGAUAAAAGCUACCCUGGGGAUAACAGGCUUAUCUCCCCCAAGAGUCCACAUCGACGGGGAGGUUUGGCACCUCGAUGUCGGCUCAUCGCAUCCUGGGGCUGUAGUCGGUCCCAAGGGUUGGGCUGUUCGCCCAUUAAAGCGGUACGCGAGCUGGGUUCAGAACGUCGUGAGACAGUUCGGUCCCUAUCCGUCGCGGGCGUAGGAAAUUUGAGAGGACCUGUCCUUAGUACGAGAGGACCGGGAUGGACAUACCUCUGGUGUACCAGUUGUGCCGCCAGGCGCAUCGCUGGGUAGCUACGUAUGGAUGUGAUAAACGCUGAAAGCAUCUAAGUGUGAAACACACCUCGAGAUGAGAUUUCCCAUUCCUUUAU